AGAACAUCCUGAGGAAGCAGUGUAUGCUAAUUUCACAGAGACCAGCCGAGAGGAGACCAGAGCGGUCGACGGACAGAGCAGAUCUGCUCCUGUGGAAAACUCAGCUGACUACAGCACCGUCACUGCUGCAGCUUCACGUCCUCUGAGAAAACCUGAAGACGACUCGAAUGAACUCCUCUACACUCAGGUAGAUUUUUCCAACAGAGCUGCC